AUCCAAAAGACUCUCGGCAACGGAUAUCUCGGCUCUUGCAUCGAUGAAGAACGCAGCAA
rnacentral:rRNA from 2 species